rnacentral:lncRNA from 1 species
GGGGUACAAGGAAGAACAGACCUAUGUGCAUUUUGUAGGAAGAAAACUGUGAAUGGAAAAAGGAGAAGGGGAGAGAAACGGGGGAAAUCUGGAUAAUACAUUAAAGUAACCAUAAUUUUGGAGAUGCAUUCAUCUUAUUGAAAAUAUAUUUCCUCAUGGUUGUGAUUCCUCUUCACUCUUUUGAAUUUGGAAGGAUGGCAUACACAUCUGAAAAAUACCACUACUUCCUUCAUUGGACUGCAAGGUAUUUCUGUUUGGAAAAGUAAUGGAGUCCAGUCAACUUCAUUGAUCGCCAAGGACUGUCAAAAUUAUAAAACUUGCUGUGGAGCUCUGACAUGCCAGAAGCCGCUAGAAAAAGAAGUUUGACAUUCAGAAACUUAUCAAGAGGUUCUACUCUUUGGAUAGAGACCAAAAUCAUACUUUGAAAAAGCCUGACAGGUUUCUUCGGAAAAGUGGCCAUCCAUGGAAUGAAUGAAAUGUUCUCUUUCUAUUCCAGGGAUUGCAGUGGCAAAGCUAGGCUAGGUCUUGGAGGCUGGUGUAAGGCGAUGUGGGUGAAGGCAGGAGGCUGAUGGAAAGACUGGGGGGAAGAAAAGCCGAAAUGGAUUCACGGUGCCUUGGAUGAAGGACGAGAGGGGAACUGCAAGCUCCUUCAACUGGUUCUGUCCGGUGAGAAGUGAUCAAGCUUGGGCUGACAAGAGGCUCAGGGAGCCCUCACGUUCUUUCGCUUUUUUACCUGCCAAUCAAACUGCUACAAGACAACACCCUGAUCUGGCAUGGACAUAUCCAACUUAGAAAUAAUGUUUCAUUCAAGAUAAGGCUCGUGGCUUAGGAGAUUGUGACCUGGCUUGCAUCAUUCUAAGACUUCUAUCGUCUGUUUUCAAAACCCAAGGAGGACCUCCUUUUCUGUGUGAUAGUUCCUCAUGCUUUGCCAGCCACUGGGUCUUUAAGGAAGCUUGCCAAGAGUUCCCGGCUGGGAAGGACAGUUCGAGUUCAUCAUAGACAAUGAGCUGGCACCACAGUUUAAGUGACUCACCAACCUGGUUGCCCACUUCAAAAUGUCAAGAACCACACUAUCUAAUUGAAAGAACUGUGUUUUAGCAAAGUGUAAUUGGAUCGCCUGGCAAGAUCAUCUCAAACUAUGUCUCUGACCUUGCCUUUCAGUGGCUAUUUUGAGCACAAGAGGAGAAAGGAAAUGAUUCCUGAAUUAUAUCUUGUUUUUAAAAAUUAAGAUUAAUUAAUACUUGGUUUUAUGUUCAUUCCAUUGUAGGAACUUAGUGAUUAUUACAAAACAGUCAAAAUAGGUCAUAGCAAAAUGAACGUUUAAGAUUAGGUUAAAACAUUCCUCUGAAAUUUUAGUAUUCACUUUUGAAGUGUCAAUUACUAUAUUUCUGUAAUUUCUCAUUUUUUUCUUGGCUUAGAGUCAAGAUGAAAAAUGAUAUUUGAAUCAAAGACAUUGUUUUGUUAUAUAGCCACUCCUUUCUAAAAUGCAAAUCCACCCUCCCCUCACCAAUGCUUUAUUCUUUGUGCGCGCACACACACACACACACACACACACACACACACACACACACAGACAUACACAGAACCAGCACCCAAAUGGUAGAGGAGGUCCUUCCAAGACUUCUAGGACCUGGAUCAUGUAAGCAGUAGAUGAGAAAAUGAAGUAAGAGAUAUAGAGUAAUAACAAUAAAAGUCAAUGAUUUCAUUUUACAAAAAAGUCAUUGUGUAGUACUCAGAUAUUUUUAAGAGCAAGUAUUAUUAUGACUAAAGUAUAUUAUACUUCUAAAUUAUUAUGAUUCUCAUCUAAUUUCAAGCCACACAUAGGCGCCAUUUGAAAGCAUUUUGUGUUACAACCUAUCAACAAAAAUCAACUAAUAGUUUUAUAACGUGCAUAGGUUUACCCCAUGGGGAAUUAAAAUUUUUAUCUGCAAGUAUUUCUGUUGUUGUGAGACUUUAGGACAAGACAACAUUUGGUGUUAACAUAGAAGAAUAUUCUAUGGCUUUUUUAGCUUUAAAGUUCAUUACUCUAAAAUAAAGUACACGUGGUAUUUUUUUCUUCCUAGUGUUCUCUUAUUAUAUGUAGAGUAUUUUCGGUUGUUGUUUUUAACGUAUACAUUAUUUUUAUUAAGUCAUUUCAUAAAAGAUAAGAUAUAUACUAAUAGACCCUUGGUUUUCUCCUAAUUUAAUUAUUUCAAGUCAAGCAAAAUUGGGCAAUUUUCUUUCAGGAAAAAAAAAAUAUUGAGCAUGAUUUUGAGGUAAAACUGAUUAUUUACAGCAUCUUUUCUCUAAUAGGCUAACAUUUAUGAUGGAUCUUAUUUCAAAGUUGAUUAUUCUCAAAGAAAAGUGGAGAUAUUAGAAUUUCCGAGUAAAUUGCAUUGUUUUAAAAAGUACUUUAAUGCAUUGUUCACAUUGUUGCCAGCUAUUGACCAAAAAAGAGAAGAAGAAAAAAGAAAUAAAAAAAGCAGUAUCUGCUCCAAACGUCAAGUUUUGCAGUUUGAAAGACUUGUACAUUAUAAUUGUUUUUUUCUUUUUUGGAAAGCAGUAGUAAUUAAUACCAAAGGCAUAGACAAUUUAGGGCCAUAACCUCCCUUCCCCCCUCUCCACCUUUUUUUUUUUUUUUUUUUUUUUUUAACUUUAACCAUGAUAGGCAUCUCUGCAAGGUAGGUUUUAACAUAUUUUUUUCCUAAUUUUUUUCCCUCCAUUCAGUAAGAAGGAUAAGCUUUUAGAGUACCCAGUCACCGUGGUAACUGCCAAAAAAAUUCUCCUGAAGUUUGAAGAGGUCAGCUAGCAGGGUCAACAACCCUGGCCUCUCUCUGAGCUCGGUCUAGCAUGCCCCAGCCUGCGGUUGGAGUGUCAGGCCAGAUCUGACCCUGGGAGGUGGACCAUUCUGGCUCUGAUAUAAAUUUUUCGAGUCAGUUCAUGGCCUGGACUCUCCAGGUGGCCUCCAAAAUCGAUUUUGACCCCCUGACCCUGUCUCACGGAGGCAUAGCAUCCACCCUAAGUAAGGAUUUAGCCAGGAAUGACAGCUUUCCACUGAGUGUUAUUGGGGACAGUAUAAACAGUUUGGAAAGCAAGUAAGGAGGUGUGAGGGCUAGCAAUCAUUAAAAGCACAUUAAAAAACAAUUUUUAAAAAUCUUUAUUAGAGAAAGUUGUAAAUGCAUAUCUGUUACAGAAUUCCUGUGAUUUGUAGAGUUUUCUAGUCAGUUUUGAAUAUAAAUAGGUCACAUAUCUUUAUCUUUUUGCAUACUUUGUUACAAAUAUGCAAAUAAGAUAGGCAUACUUGCUACAAAAUAGGUACAGCAGGAAUGUAAUAUGUUCAGAAAAGGCAAACUGGUUAUUAAAACACAUUAACAGGUAAGGAGUUUCUAAUAUUUUAAAUACUAAAAUUUUACAUGUGUAUUUUGAAGUUUUUAAAAUGGAAAAAUAAAGAACCUUUAAAA